rnacentral:sRNA from 1 species
CGAGCGGCCAAAGGGAGCAGACUGUAAAUCUGCCGUCAUCGACUUCGAAGGUUCGGAUCGAACGCAGUGAGACAACGCGCGCAGCGCGGCCCGCAGGGUGAGCCGCUUGCGGCGAAUAAUCCUUCUCCCGCCACCA